CAGUAGCCGCGGUAAUACCGAGGGUGCAAGCGUUAAUCGGAAUUACUGGGCGUAAAGCGCGCGUAGGUGGUUUGUUAAGUUGAAUGUGAAAUCCCCGGGCUCAACCUGGGAACUGCAUCCAAAACUGGCAAGCUAGAGUAGGGCAGAGGGUGGUGGAAUUUCCUGUGUAGCGGUGAAAUGCGUAGAUAUAGGAAGGAACACCAGUGGCGAAGGCGACCACCUGGGCUCAUACUGACACUGAGGUGCGAAAGCGUGGGGAGCAAACAGGAUUAGAUACCCGAGUAGUCCCUGUCUCUUAUAC
rnacentral:rRNA from 1 species